GCCCCUGGAGGAGAACACUCGCACU
rnacentral:piRNA from 1 species